rnacentral:rRNA from 1 species
AACGAACGCUGGCGGCGGGCUUAACACAUGCAAGUCGAACGCCCCGCAAGGGGAGUGGCAGACGGGUGAGUAACGCGUGGGAACAUACCCUUUUCUACGGAAUAGCUCUGGGAAACUGGAAUUAAUACCGUAUACGCCCUACGGGGGAAAGAUUUAUCGGGGAAGGAUUGGCCCGCGUUGGAUUAGCUAGUUGGUGGGGUAAAGGCCUACCAAGGCGACGAUCCAUAGCUGGUCUGAGAGGAUGAUCAGCCACAUUGGGACUGAGACACGGCCCAAACUCCUACGGGAGGCAGCAGUGGGGAAUAUUGGACAAUGGGCGCAAGCCUGAUCCAGCCAUGCCGCGUGAGUGAUGAAGGCCUUAGGGUUGUAAAGCUCUUUCACCGAUGAAGAUAAUGACGGUAGUCGGAGAAGAAGCCCCGGCUAACUUCGUG